AGUGAACGCUGGCGGUAGGCCUAACACACGCAAGUCGAACGGCAGCACAGGAGAGCUUGCUCUCUGGGUGGCGAGUGGCGGACGGGUGAGGAAUACAUCGGAAUCUACUUUUUCGUGGGGGAUAACGUAGGGAAACUUACGCUAAUACCGCAUACGACCUACGGGUGAAAGCAGGGGACCUUCGGGCCUUGCGCGAUUGAAUGAGCCGAUGUCGGAUUAGCUAGUUGGCGGGGUAAAGGCCCACCAAGGAGACGAUCCGUAGCUGGUCUGAGAGGAUGAUCCGCCCCACUGGAACUGAGACACGGUCAAGACUCCUACAGGAGGCAGCAGUGGGGAAUAUUGGACAAUGGCAGCAAGCCUGAUCCAGCCAUACCGCGUGGGUGAAGAAGGCCUUCGGGUUGUAAAGCCCUUUUGUUGGGAAAGAAAUCCAGCUGGCUAAUACCCGGUUGGGAUGACGGUACCCAAAGAAUAAGCACCGGCUAACUUCGUGCCAGCCGCCGCCGUAA
rnacentral:rRNA from 1 species